rnacentral:rRNA from 1 species
CGGGGGGCAGCAGUGGGGAAUUUUGGACAAUGGGGGCAACCCUGAUCCAGCAAUGCCGCGUGAGUGAAGAAGGCCUUCGGGUUGUAAAGCUCUUUUGUCGGGGAAGAAACGGUGAUUUCUAAUACGGAUCACUAAUGACGGUACCCGAAGAAUAAGCACCGGCUAACUACGUGCCAGCAGCCGCGGUAAUACGUAGGGUGCAAGCGUUAAUCGGAAUUACUGGGCGUAAAGCGUGCGCAGGCGGUUAUGUAAGACAGAUGUGAAAUGCCCGGGCUCAACCUGGGAACUGCAUUUGUGACUGCAUGGCUAGAGUGUGUCAGAGGGGGGUAGAAUUCCACGUGUAGCAGUGAAAUGCGUAGAGAUGUGGAGGAAUACCGAUGGCGAAGGCAGCCCCCUGGGAUAACACUGACGCUCAUGCACGAAAGCGUGGGGAGCAAACAGGAUUAGAUACCCCAGU